ACUGCGGGUCAAAACCGAUGCAAAUAUGCCCGAUCUGGUGUCAAAACGACGCUGACCACGCAACCACUUGUGUGUAUCAGAGCGCGCGCCCUUGAAAGU
rnacentral:sRNA from 1 species